AACCUAGUGGUGAAUGGAUCACACCUGCUUCUCUUACAGUUUGGUUGAGCAGCCUUUAGCAGGAGCUCCCGGUUCGACUCCGGGCUAGGUCA